ensembl:lncRNA
AGUGAGGAGAGCUCGCUGGGCCCUGCACCCAUCCAGCAAUGGUGGGGCAUGCUGGGACACAGCACAGCAUAUAAAAGGGCAUAUAUGAGAUAUGAGGUGUAUGGGAGCUGCUGAGUCACAGCCUGAACCACUGAUUGAGCACCUGGGGAAAGGACCCGGUCAGCCCUGGGAGCACAGGUGAAGGCAAUUCACGUGUGUGACUGGAAGGGGUGGAGCCUGCCUGCACCUCUCUUAGACCUCAUUUAAGGGCUGACUGCCACUAGGGAAGGUUCUCUUUCUGGAGAUCCCUUCUUAGUGGAGCUUUUUCCUGGGAUCUUCUGAUAUGGUUCUCCACUUGCUAUGGUGCUGCUGUGCCACUACUGUUAAUAAUGUCAUCAAGCCUUACCUGCGUGAAUGACUGCAAAGGAUGCCAAUGGCAACCUCAAGGACAGAGUGAGACCUUGCGGUCACCGGGACACCGAUGACGCUUCUCUGUGUGAUGGAUGUGUUCACAGAAUUAGGCCCCAUGACACGGAAGUGGAUGCUGCUCCAAUUUUCUUUCAAGAAACACUACCGGAAUCAUCCUUAAGAUGAAAUUUCAUUUUAAAACUGCAUUCUUUCUCUAGCAAUGGGAACAUUAAGCCAUUCCAAUUGGUUUGUCAGCCAUGCUGAAGCAGCUGGAAGAGGUUAGAAUAGUGAAACUGGAGUCCACCUACCUGCUGGAAAAGUACAGCUGAAAGAGGCAAUUUCUAGACAACAAAGGGUAAGGAGGUGAGGUGAAGAUACUGUUGUUCUAGUGGCCAGAAGGGUGCUAUCAUCAAGUUAGUAAGAAUAAUGUUUUCCUUAGCUCUCAUGGGACUUCUUUGUCCAUGUGGAUCCAUUUCAAACACUUUUUCCCCUUUAAGCACUCCUUGAUAAUAAAAAAAACUGAUAUAAGCGCUCUUUCAUGGGAAGAAUCUCACUUUGGUCUGUGUAUUUUGUCUUCAGAAAACCAUAGGGCUCAGAGUGGGUACAGAAAGAGCUUAGUACUCAAAAAAUGCAGCCCGCAGCUGAGAGAAACUGCAAGAGCAGGGGUUAAUGGUACUGAGGGCUUCAUGGUUCAGCUGUUUGCAGAUCAGUAAUUAGAAUCCUCUGCUUACUGCAUUGAUCUCUCCCUGAGCAGCACUGUGAAAUACUACAGAGAGAUCUAUUAGUCAUAGAGAUAUUUGGGUGGGGGAAGGAAAUGAAACACUUCCCCCCACCGUUUCUAGGUAUUUGAGGGCAAGAAGAGUGUUCUUCUACCUUUAAGGAGAAGCUGUGGUCUGUCUCCAGGGCUGCUGGGGCAGGCUGUCUCCAUGAGGGGCAGCUGGAGCUGUGAGAGCACAAUGUGCCAUGGUUGUGAUAAAGGUGGGUGCAGCCUGUAUGCUGGUGCACACUUGGGGCUGCACUGUGUGGUGUGAGUAAUAACAUACCAGCACAGCAGGGGGAGAAGGUCUCCUGGCAUGUAACCUUUCUGCUGUUAAAUCCCUGCCUGAUCUGUGCAGAAAUGCUAGAGAAUGUGUGUGCUUUCCCUACUGUCUCUAAAGGGGCUGUAUUCCAGGUGGGAGCAGGGACUGAAUAUCAGUGUGAUACUCUUAUGAGUAAGACUGUAUCUGGUGUGACUUCUUAUGGAAGGUUUUGGAGAACCAGGGAACAGGGCUGCUGAGAAGGGAGUUGAGUCUGUGAAAGGAUCUGACUCUCACUUAGAUGUUUGCUUAAAAGCUGUGAGAAGAACAGAUGAGCUGCAACCAGAUGCUAAGGUGAUGGCAACACAGUCAGGGGCGUCUUGUAUUGUUGAAGACCAUUCUACUAAAGUUAAAAACAAGUCUAGAAAAGCCUUCUGACAGGGUUUUUUUUUUUAAUAAAAUGUAUCUCACAGUGAAACUAGGCUAACAAAUAGUACUGUAAAAUUAACUUCUGCUUGCCAUCACCCUUGUAAAUAAGCCUAUUUCUUAAUUCUCAUAUGAGGUAAUGAGAGAUUAAAACACAUCACUACUUAUGCUAACAAACUACAUGGGAAAUUGACUUUUGUCUUUAAAAAAAAAAAAACAGAGUUGUAGCUUUGGACACUGUGUCCAAACCAUACUAAGAAAUAUGUGUCAGCAGGAUCCGAGUUAGGGUUGUAAUGCUGCUGUCUAGCUAUAGAUCUUGAGACAAAGAAUCAAUAGGAACAAGUAAAUAAAAGUUGGUAAUGAG